GACGUAGGGGACGAGCGUUGUCCGGAUUCAUUGGGCGUAAAGCGCGCGUAGGCGGCCACGCAAGUCGGGUGUGAAAUCUCGGAGCUUAACUCCGAAACUGCAUUCGAUACUGCCGUGCUUGAGGACUGGAGAGGAGACUGGAAUUUACGGUGUAGCGGUGAAAUGCGUAGAUAUCGUAAGGAAGACCAGUGGCGAAGGCGGGUCUCUGGACAGUUCCUGACGCUGAGGCACGAAGGUCAGGGGAGCAAACGGG
rnacentral:rRNA from 1 species